rnacentral:lncRNA from 1 species
CCAAGUUGGGGAGGUAUUGGCAAAAGGAGGGAAUGUCAUUGAGGUCAGAGAAGAACUGGGAGAAAUGGGCAUUUCCUUUCCUUUAGCAGAUAUUUGUUGAGUGUCUACCAUGUGCCAGGCCCUGUUUUAGGCAGAGCUUGCAGCCCAGCAGGUGGAGAGGAAGUAAAUAAACAAAAUAUAUAUAUACGUGUAUAUGUAUGUGUAUAUACAGAAGAUUAAAAGAUGAAGAUACAUCAGAAAAGGUGAAGGUGGUUUUGAGAAUAUCUAUACCUGUCACUGGUAUCUACAAACACCUGUGUAGCAGACCAUGUGCUGAUCACUGUGGAGACAGACAUGAACAAAAGCCAGUCCCAGGCCAGGUGUGGAGGCUCACACCUGUGAUCCCAGCACUUUGGGGGGCCGAGGCGGACGGAUCACUUAUGGUGGUGGGCACCUGUAAUCCCAGGUUGAGGCAGGAGAAUCGCUUGAACCCUGGAGGUGGAGGUUGUAUAGUGAGCCGAGAUCGUGCCACUGCACUCCAGCCUGGGCGCAGAGCAAGACUCCGUCUCAAAAACAAAAAACAAAACAAAUAAAAGGUAGAAACCAAAAUUUAGAGAAGUCAGGGGUCUCACCCCAAGUCAUAGAGUUAUUUAAAUAGCAGGGUUGGGAUUCAGAACUAGCUUUCAGGCCACUGAAUUUCAGAGUCCUGGCGCUUUGCCACUAACCCAUCACCGUCUAUCCCAAGAGGACAGGUGACCCUGAAGACAGGUGGCUCUGAGCCUCCACAUGACAUACAAGGAGGCUGGUGGCUCCCCCAGAACCACAAGGAGGCAGAUCUCAGUGUUAGCUGAGCUGGAGAGGCCCUGUCACCCGAACCUCUGGCCACCGCUGGCGCGGAGGGCUCUGGAAGCACAGGGUGGUG